rnacentral:rRNA from 1 species
GAUGAACGCUGGCGGCGUGCCUAAUACAUGCAAGUCGAGCGAACAGAUGAGGAGCUUGCUCCUCUGACGUUAGCGGCGGACGGGUGAGUAACACGUGGAUAACCUACCUAUAAGACUGGGAUAACUUCGGGAAACCGGAGCUAAUACCGGAUAAUAUAUUGAACCGCAUGGUUCAACAGUGAAAGACGGUUUUGCUGUCACUUAUAGAUGGAUCCGCGCCGCAUUAGCUAGUUGGUAAGGUAACGGCUUACCAAGGCAACGAUGCGUAGCCGACCUGAGAGGGUGAUCGGCCACACUAGAACUGAGACACGGUCCAGACUCCUACGGGAGGCAGCAGUAGGGAAUCUUCCGCAAUGGGCGAAAGCCUGACGGAGCAACGCCGCGUGAGUGAUGAAGGUCUUCGGAUCGUAAAACUCUGUUAUUAGGGAAGAACAAAUGUGUAAGUAACUAUGCACGUCUUGACGGUACCUAAUCAGAAAGCCACGGCUAACUACGUG